UACGGGGGGAGCAAGCGUUGUUCGGAUUUACUGGGCGUAAAGGGCGCGUAGGCGGCGCAACAAGUCACUUGUGAAAUCUCCGGGCUUAACCCGGAGCGGCCAAGUGAUACUGUCGUGCUAGAGUGCGGAAGGGGCUACUGGAGUUCUCGGUGUAGCGGUGAAAUGCGUAGAUAUCGAGAGGAACACCUGCGGCGAAGGCGGGUAGCUGGGCCGACACUGACGCUGAGGCGCGAAAGCCAGGGGAGCGAACGGG
rnacentral:rRNA from 1 species